AAGGGCAGCUGCAGGGGCGAGUGGGGAGGACAGGUAUUUGGGGGCGGGGCACCACCAGCCUGGGUCCUGCCCUCCCCACUUGCCUCUGCACCAAUCCCCCGCCUUGCGCACCCGUCACAUCAGCUUCCUUCUGUCCUUUUAAUUCAUGUCACUGGAGAUCCGCGCCACGUCUAGGGAGGCCUUGGGACUUUGCAAACCAAACAUAUGCUGUUCACCGCUCCUCGUGGCCAAGAUUCUUGUCAACCGCAGUCGCGAAGGGCCGCACCUCCUGCUGGAGAGGAAUCUGGAACCCCUCCUUCACAUUGGGACGGCCCUGCCCCAGGGAGGGGGAAAGCAGAGUGGUUUGGAGGGGGCAGAGUCGACAGACAGUGUGGGGUGGGUGGGCCGGUUCUGCCUCGGUCCUCACUGGCCAUUAGGCCCACCCCCUACCCCAUGCAGCACCUCCCCCAGAACCUCUGAAGGCCACAGGCCUGCAACCAUCCUCAGCUCCAGUGUGGCCAAUUACAUCAGCCAAUAAACACAGGUGGAAAGAGCAAGGGUUCCUGCUUGGCCACUUUCUAGAACCUUUCUUGGAUGACAUGAUUCUAAGCCCCAGCUGCAGCCCAGAGCAGGUUUCAAGGGCUCCACUUCCAACCACGCCCCUCCUUUCAGCUCCAAACUGCAUUUCUGCACCUUUCUUGCUCUCUCUCUUUCUCUCUCUCUCCCCCUACCCCCAUCGUUUUCCUCUUUCCACGUUUUAAAAAGGGGGACAGGACUGGGAAGCAAAUCCAAACUCUGAUUUUUGAGAAGGGAGAAGGCUUUCACAUGAAGAAAUGAAAGACCAUACAUUAAUAGCUCGGAAAACAAUGGUAAUAUUUAAUUAACCUUUUGGAAUGGCUGCUCUGCAAAUCUGCACGUGUCAGCUCAUCUUCAGAACAGAGGGACUGUGAGCCGGUGCCAAAAUCAACACGCCUGGCCUGCGCCUUUCUUCUGUGGGGACUUCACGGUGGGAGGAGGGGGGCGGGGCGGGGAGUAAGUCCCGAACUCCCCCCCAAAAUCCGUGGUUUUACUUUAAAAAUUCAUGCAGUCCAGCUGCCCUCGGCCGGCCAGGCUGGACGGGGCCUGUUGUGCCGCACAUCUGCGGACCCUGAGUUGAAGCGUGGCUGCGUCCCUUGUCAUUGCAGCAGACAGGCCGCGGGCCUCCGGGGGGAGCGAGGGUCAGGUCCGAUGACAGCGGAACUCGGCUGGGCGCACUUGGAGCGCUCCCACACCGUGCAUGUCCACAGGACAGAGGGAAUUAGAGUCAUCUGCGAGUGUCAGCUCUCUGGCUCUUUUCGUGAUUUUUUUUCUUUUAAAGGUGGUGUGUCCUUCCCAAAGUAUGACAUGAUGCAUCGUGUCAUCCAGGGAGCGCUGGGGUUGGCUCAUUAAAAUAUCACCUGGUUGAAGUAAAUCACUGCUGAUGGGCCUGUUUAAGGUUUUGCCCGUGGUGGAGUCGGAGUCGUGGAGCCGGUAUGUCAUGCUGACCAACCUGUUCCUCCCAUCACAGGCUAUAGGGACACCUUCAUUUCUUGCUCUGCACCCCUUACCUGCUUUAAUGAGCAAGUCUCCCAAUGAAACCAGAAGCCUGAGUUGAUGGGUAGUGACUUAACACGUUUCAUUCUCUUUUCUUAACAGCUACGAGCAGAAAGAAUUGGGGAGGGUGAUAUUUCGCUCUUUGGGACUUCCAGGAAUUAAAGAGCACAAACAGCAAUAAAAUGGAUAUAGAGGAGUUGAUUUGUACUUUUGAAUUGUACAUAUCCAUCCAUGAAGCAAUAUGAUGCAUUUUGAAAUGUUAAGAAAAUUGUUGUAACUUGUAAAAAGGUCUUUUGUUGUAGCUUUUAUGUUUUGAACCAUUAAGGAAAAAAGUUAGGGGAUUUUAAGAAACCCUGCUUUAGGUAGAAAGAUUCAAGGCCUAUGAAGACUUGAGCAAAGUGGAAGACUCACAGUUGAUCAAACGAAGCAGUUAUUUGAUUGCAAGGACAUAGAACACUUGGGCACAACAAUUGCAAAAUAAGCUUAUCUCUGUCAUUCUAGCAAUAUUAAAAGAUGUAGGGAUCAAGAAAUUAGGCUUGACUGUUUACAAAAGCCAAGACAUGGAAGCAACUUAAAUACCCAUCAAUAGAUGAAUGGAUAAAGAAGAUGUGGUAUAGAUCUACAAUGGAGUAUUACUCAGCCACAAAAAAUGAAGUAAUACCAUUUACAACAACGUAGAUGGACCUAGUGAUCCACCGAUCAUACUAAGUGAAGUCAGAUAGAGAAAGACAAAUAUCAUGUGAUAUCACUUAUAUGUGGAAUCUAAUAUGUGAAACAAAUGAACGUAUCUACAAAACAGAAACAGAUUCACAGACGUAGAAAAUAAGGUUAUGGCUACCAAAUGGGAAAGGGGAGGUAGAAAUAAAUUGGGAAUUUGGGAUUAACAUAUAUACAUUACUAUAUAGAAAAUAGACAACAAGGACUUAACUGUAUAGCACAGGGAACUAUAUUCAAUAUCUUGUGAUGACAUGUAAUGGAAAAGAAUCCAUCUAUCUAUCUAUCUGUCGCUGAAUCACUUUGCUGUAUAUCAGAAACUAACACAACAUUGUAAAUCAACUAUACUUA
rnacentral:lncRNA from 1 species